GGGUAGGUACAAUACGCUGACGUCACGCAUCCGGGACUCCGGUCACGUGGGAAGAAACCCGGAAGUAUCGCCGUGAAUCACAUGAGAGUUGCAAAUGCGAUGUUGUGUAUUAGGCUGUACAUCAUAUUAACGUAAAGAGAGUGAUAAUAUAUAUCCUUUCAUCUAUUCCCGAGUGACUCAAAGGGAUAUUGGACCUUAUUUUCAGAUUACAGACAACACGAGAGGGUGCUCCAAACUUUUUAAUCAGGACUGCAUUGUUUGUUCGCUCCCGGGGUUACAUAGACUGAAACGGGGAAGCGUGACGAGUUUGUUUACAUGGUGCUGUAAACUCCAACCCAGGAGGACACUUCAGAGGAAUCAAGGUGUCUGUGAUGUUGAAACACUAAAGGAAGAAGAGGAGGACCACCAUUUGUUUCCUGAUCAGAACACAAGAGAAGAAUCUAACAGUGGUUUGGGGGCAUUGCAAGACCAUGAUUACCUGGAAACAUCUCCUAUUAUGGAAGAGCACAACAUCAUGCUCGCAACAUUUGUGUCCUGGAUCAGUUUUUCUUGUUUCUCUGCUGUAUGAGGCAGGGGCUUCUUUCCGCAGAUUUAGCUCAUACAGCAAACGGACGGUUUGGACUACAGCCCUCUACUUCCCGAUUGAAUGACAUCCAAAGAAGAGUUUUUUUUUACUAACUCUCACCCACAGGAAUACGUCAGUCGCAAGCAAAGCUCAAAUGGCUCUGCUAAGUUAAGUUGCUGUUAAAUCACAACACACUAAACAAACUACUACACAAUCAAAACUCGAUAUAUAUUUCUGAAGGAGGGACUUCAUAGAACAAGGAAGAAAUCAGCCCGAUUUUAGGACAGUGAAAACAGCGCUAUACAGAUAAGUAAUUAUGUGAAAAAUACUGUGUUUUUUUACACACAAAACAUGAACACACGCUAUAUUGCACACCAUAAACACAAUCAUAGUUUAAAAACACAGGAAAAACAGGACUUUUAAUCUGUCCAAGGCAACAGUCAGUCGAAUAUGCAUAACAUGGGCUAAUGUCCAAACAUCUUUUCACUUCACAAGAGGUGCAAAGUUUGGACUCUCAUUCUCACGGCACCCAUUCACUGCAGAGGAUCCAAUUGUAAGCAAUGUAAUGCUGAAUUUCUCCAAAUCUGUUCCAAUGAAAAAGCAAAUGCAUCUAUAUAUUGGGUGAAAAAUUCCUUUAAUCCCAAAAACAGACUUUUUUCAUUUAAAUGUUUUUACUUUGCUUACUAUUACAAUUUGUACAGUAAAUAGAAAAUAUACAUUGGAACAAAUUUAUAAACAGUGGUGUGAAAAAGUGUUAGCCCCAUCCAGAUUUCUCAUGUUAUUGCAUAUUUAUGUCACACUUUUAUGUUUCAGAUCAUCAAACAAAUGUAAAUAUUAGUCAAAGAAGAUAACACAAGUGAACACAUCAUGCAGUUUUUAAAUGAAGGCUUUUAUUAUUAAGGGAAAAAAAAUCUAAACUACAUGGCCCUGUGUAAAAAAGUGUAUUAGUACCCAUUG